rnacentral:rRNA from 1 species
UCUGGCCUCAAAUCAAGUAGGACUACCCGCUGAACUUAAGCAUAUCAAUAAGCGGAGGA